GAUUCUUCAGAACUCCAUCCUCUGCGCUUCAUCGGCGGAGCCGCCACCGUACCGUCGCCGUCGACUGCUCCCCGGAGCCAAAGAGGGCGGCGUUCCCGCAUGUCCCUGCUGCGGCGGCGUCCCAAGUCGGUGCAGAGAAGGGGGAUUACCUUGGACUCGUGCAGCUUAUCGGCCGCCCAGCCGCGGCGCGCCCCGCUCCGCCGCUGAGGCCGUGCACCGGUGAUUCCGACGACUACUUCAGUCGAAUCCUCCUCGUCGGCAUCCUAACGGGUGUCCCAACUUCAGGUUCGAGCCUAUAUCACCAUCGUGGUCCGUUUUGUGUGCUCGCUGGCUUUUGCUUGCACAGUUUGGGCAGGUUGUUUGCAUUUGAGCAAAUCGUAGUAUACUGGCCACUCUGGACCCUUAAAGGGGUUUUUUCAACACUGCUGCUGAAAUAAUACAAGUUCUGCACAUAUUUCUUUGCCUUCAAAAAUCAGAAAGGUACGAGCAGUUGUUCCUUCUGAAUGGUUUGAGCAGAGAACUGAGACUCUGCAGUUGACCACUGAAUUAACGUGGGUGAAUGUGCAGUGUUCUGUGCAUAUGUUUCACUUAAACAAGAUACACACUGGACUUGACCAAAAAACAGCUUGGAGUCCCGAACAGUUUUUCACCGCCACCUUCUUAUCAUUUUAUCGAGGCACUUUGGGGCCAUAUAAAUAUUACCUUUUUGACAUGAUUACUGAUUAGCAAUUUGGCAUCACCAUGUAACAAUGACAUCACCAGAUGACUCAAGACUUCAGGAAUGGAAGAGACAGCUUAUUCACCAAGCCUGUGUAGAACGACGGAAAUGCAGUGACAGUUCAACUGAAGAAUAAGAGAGUGGGCCACGGUGUGCUGCAAGUGCAGGGGCACAGCCAUUCAUUAGCGGCUGAUGCUGUCGAUACAAAACAGACUAGCUCCACAAGAUGACCUGCAGGCAUGACCAGCUUGGUUGCUCGCUUGUGGCGGCAAGCCGGCAAUCCCUAGGAAAAUUUUGAUGCAAAGUUCAGUCUCACAGGAAUGAAUCACUCCCUUCGCUAGCGUAUUCCAGGGUACCUGCAAGUUUGGCAGGCUAAUAUUCAUGGACAUCAUGGUGCUACAUGAGGCUAGAUAUUUUUUGAAGUAAACAUGAGGCUAGAUAUAGCAGUCAGGAAGUGAAUUAUUUCGGAUCAGUAAGUAUUUCCCUGCACAUCAAUACUUCAAUAGGAUAACAUUCUUGUCUAACAAUAUCGCUCUAAGGCCCAGGAACCAAAUUUAUAUUUUGAUAUUAUUAGUGCUGUCUAGUUAAAACAAAAGACAACUACUUUAGUUCAACACAGCAUAGUAACCCUGAUCAGAGUAUCAGAUAAGCAAUAUGAUCUGGCAAAGGUUCAAGUUGUCACAUACUCAUUACAUAUAGAAAAUGAGAAGGGUCUAUAUCCUUUAUUUU